UACGGAGGGUGCGAGCGUUGUCCGGAAUCACUGGGCGUAAAGAGCGCGUAGGCGGCUAGAUAAGUCCGGUGUGAAAGUCACAGGCUCAACCUGUGAAUGCCGCUGGAAACUGUCUGGCUAGAGUCCGGAAGGGGCGAGUGGAAUUCCUGGUGUAGCGGUGAAAUGCGCAGAUAUCAGGAGGAACACCAAUGGCGAAGGCAGCUCGCUGGGACGGUACUGACGCUGAGGCGCGAAAGCGUGGGGAGCAAACAGG
rnacentral:rRNA from 1 species